GACGAACGCUGGCGGCGUGCUUAACACAUGCAAGUCGAACGGUAAGGCCCUGCUUUUGUGGGGUGCUCGAGUGGCGAACGGGUGAGUAACACGUGAUUAACCUGCCCUUGACUUUGGGAUAACUUCAGGAAACUGGGGCUAAUACCGGAUAGGAGCUCCUGUUGCAUGGUGGGGGUUGGAAAGUUUCGGCGGUUGGGGAUGGACUCGCGGCUUAUCAGUUUGUUGGUGGGGUAGUGGCUUACCAAGGCUUUGACGGGUAGCCGGCCUGAGAGGGUGACCGGCCACAUUGGGACUGAGAUACGGCCCAGACUCCUACGGGAGGCAGCAGUGGGGAAUAUUGCACAAUGGGCGGAAGCCUGAGGCAGCAACGCAGCGUGCGGGAUGACGGCGUUCGGGUUGUAAACCGCUUUCGCCUGUGACGAAGCGUGAGUGACGGUAAUGGGUAAAGAAGCACCGGCUAACUACGUG
rnacentral:rRNA from 1 species